rnacentral:rRNA from 1 species
GAUGAACGCUGGCGGCGUGCUUAACACAUGCAAGUCGAACGAGAAAUGGAGACGGAAACCUUCGGGCGGAAGGCUUCAUUUCGAGUGGCGGACGGGUGAGUAACGCGUGGGUAACCUGCCUCAUACAGGGGGAUAACAGUUGGAAACGACUGUUAAUACCGCAUAAGACCACAGCACCGCAUGGUGCGGGGGUAAAAACUCCGGUGGUAUGAGAUGGACCCGCGUUCGAUUAGCCAGUUGGCGGGGUAACGGCCCACCAAAGCGACGAUCGAUAGCCGAUCUGAGAGGCUGACCGGCCACAUUGGGACUGAGACACGGCCCAAACUCCUACGGGAGGCAGCAGUGGGGAAUAUUGCACAAUGGGGGAAACCCUGAUGCAGCGACGCCGCGUGAGUGAAGAAGUACUUCGGUAUGUAAAGCUCUAUCAGCAGGGAAGAAAAUGACGGUACCUGAGUAAGAAGCCCCGGCUAACUACGUG